rnacentral:rRNA from 1 species
AUUGAACGCUGGCGGCAGGCCUAACACAUGCAAGUCGAGCGGAUGAAGGGAGCUUGCUCCUGGAUUCAGCGGCGGACGGGUGAGUAAUGCAUAGGAAUCUGCCUGGUAGUGGGGGAUAACGUCCGGAAACGGGAGCUAAUACCGCAUACGUCCUGAGGGUGAAAGUGGGGGAUCUUCGGACAUCACGCUAUCUGAUGAGCCUAGGUCGGAUUAGCUAGUUGGUGGGGUAAAGGCCUACCAAGGCGACGAUCCGUAACUGGUCUGAGAGGAUGAUCAGUCACACUGGAACUGAGACACGGUCCAGACUCCUACGGGAGGCAGCAGUGGGGAAUAUUGGACAAUGGGCGAAAGCCUGAUCCAGCCAUGCCGCGUGUGUGAAGAAGGUCUUCGGAUUGUAAAGCACUUUAAGUUGGGAGGAAGGGCAGUAAGUUAAUACCUAGCUGUUUUGACGUUACCAACAGAAUAAGCACCGGCUAACUUCGUG